rnacentral:rRNA from 1 species
AUUGAACGCUGGCGGCAGGCCUAACACAUGCAAGUCGAACGGUAACAGGAAACAGCUUGCUGUUUCGCUGACGAGUGGCGGACGGGUGAGUAAUGUCUGGGAAACUGCCUGAUGGAGGGGGAUAACUACUGGAAACGGUAGCUAAUACCGCAUAACGUCGCAAGACCAAAGAGGGGGACCCUCGGGCCUCUUGCCAUCGGAUGUGCCCAGAUGGGAUUAGCUUGUUGGUGGGGUAACGGCUCACCAAGGCGACGAUCCCUAGCUGGUCUGAGAGGAUGACCAGCCACACUGGAACUGAGACAAGGUCCAGACUCCUACGGGAGGCAGCAGUGGGGAAUAUUGCACAAAGGGCGCAAGCCUGAUGAAGCCAUGCCGCGUGUAUGAAGAAGGCCUUCGGGUUGUAAAGUACUUUCAGCGGGGAGGAAGGGAGUAAAGUUAAUACCUUUGCUCAUUGACGUUACCAGCAGAAGAAGCACCGGCUAACUCCGUG